rnacentral:rRNA from 1 species
AAUAGUCUAACGGCUGAACCAGCAAUUUGGAGGAAUGUUGAUGUGUAUUUUAUAAAAAUACAUGUCUUUAGCGGUUUAUCCGCAUAAAGUUCUAGGUAGAGUACUGAUAAUGACAAUUUUCUAUCUAUAAGUCUUGACCAAAUCACGUGCCAGCAGUCGCGGUAAUACGUGGAAGACAAGUGUUAUUCAUCUUUAAUAGGUUUAAAGGGUACCUAGACGGUAUAUCUAGCCUUUGCUAUGAGGUACGGAUUUUACUAGAGUUUCAUGAAAGAGGUUAUUAUCAGUAUAUGCAGAGUAGAGAUAAUAUUCUUUGAUACUGUAUGGCACUGAUAACGGCGAAAGCGACCCUUUAUGUAAAAACUGACGUUGAGGGACGAAGGCUUGGGUAGCAAAUAGGAUUAGAUACCCUAAUAGUCCAUGCAGAAAAUGAUGAGUGCCAUAGAUUAGAGUUUCUUGAUCUAUAAAUGAAAGUGUAAGCAUUCCACCUUAAGAGUAGUGUGGCAACACAGGAACUGAAAUCAUUAGACCGUUUCUGAAACCAGUAGUGAAGUAUGUCGUUUAAUUCGAUGAUCCGCGAAAAACCUUACCACAACUUGAAUAUUAUAGCAAUGUAUAGGUCUAUUUACCUAGCUAUUAAUACAGGUGUUGCACGGCUGUCUUCAGUUAAUGUCGUGAGAUGCAGGUUAGCUCCAUUAAAUUAACGUAAACCCUUACUUUAUUUUUUUAUAAAGUAGUUCUCUGGUACAUCGGAUUAGAUAACAGGGAUUAAGACAAGUACUCGUGGCCCUAAUGUUGUGGGCUAUAGACGUGCCACAUAUACCUAGACAAAAGGAUGUAUAAAUGCAAGUAGCAAACUAAUCCUAAAAAUAGGUUAUAGUAU